rnacentral:rRNA from 1 species
UACGGGGGGAGCAAGCGUUGUUCGGAUUUACUGGGCGUAAAGGGCGCGUAGGCGGCGUGACAAGUCACUUGUGAAAUCUCCGGGCUUAACUCGGAACGGUCAAGUGAUACUGUCGUGCUAGAGUACAGAAGGGGCAACUGGAAUUCUCGGUGUAGCGGUGAAAUGCGUAGAUAUCGAGAGGAACACCUGCGGCGAAGGCGGGUUGCUGGGCUGAUACUGACGCUGAGGCGCGAAGGCCAGGGGAGCAAACGGG